AUGUGGGCCUUCUGCUGUGCUCCCUCUCUCUAAUCCUUGCUACCUGGGUGAGAGUGCUGUCUGAAUGCAAUGCACCUGGGCAAGGAUUCGGAGAGCGAGAGUUUCAUCUUCACAUAGGACA
rnacentral:pre_miRNA from 15 species